rnacentral:rRNA from 1 species
GUGCCAGACUCCUACGGGAGGCAGCAGUGGGGAAUAUUGCACAAUGGGGGAAACCCUGAUGCAGCGACGCCGCGUGAGCGAUGAAGUAUUUCGGUAUGUAAAGCUCUAUCAGCAGGGAAGAAAAUGACGGUACCUGACUAAGAAGCCCCGGCUAACUACGUGCCAGCAGCCGCGGUAAUACGUAGGGGGCAAGCGUUAUCCGGAUUUACUGGGUGUAAAGGGAGCGUAGACGGUCCUGCAAGCCAGAUGUGAAAGCCCGGGGCUCAACCCCGGGACUGCAUUUGGAACUGUAAGACUAGAGUGUCGGAGAGGCAGGCGGAAUUCCUAGUGUAGCGGUGAAAUGCGUAGAUAUUAGGAGGAACACCAGUGGCGAAGGCGGCCUGCUGGACGAUGACUGACGUUGAGGCUCGAAAGCGUGGGGAGCAAACAGGAUUAGAUACCCCGGUAGC